rnacentral:lncRNA from 1 species
UUACCGUGGCGAGUGGACUGGAAGGAGUAGACCACUCCCCUUUUCUUCUCUCUUUGUUCCACCCUCUCUUGACUCUCGUCAAUCAUAAUGGCGUACGGGUUGAGAGAGAUCAGAGUUUCUUGUGCUUACAACCGUUUAGUUCUCGUCAAUCUCUAUGACGCUUGGAUCGAAAGUUCGUAAGCCAUGGUGUUUACUUAAAAUGAGUUAGAGUCUACGCCUUUGUUACUAAAGCCGUACAGGUCGACACGAUCGACUCGGGAAGUAACGGCUAGGCGAAGACUCCAGCUUGUACUUAGUAAACACCAUUCCCAUUUCUUUUAGCCCAGGGAUCGGACAUCCGCCGAGAGGGCUAAGCCGUUUUCCUUUCGGUGCUCUUUCAGUGUAGUUGCCCAUCAGUGUUUUGUCGCCUCUUUCGCAGUCUCUCUAGGACUAGUGGGUUGAUUGUUUCGCCUUGUUUGUCGCUUUCGAGGUAGAUGCUUCGGUUAGCGUUGAUCGAAUCGGAACCAGUCGAAGGAAGGACAUGCAGAUAGGAGAAAGACCUUGGAUGAGUACAACUACAAGUGAACUGAGGAUCUUGGGAAUGUCACUCGACAGGUGCCACGUCCCACCCAACCUCGUAGAAUCCUAUUAGACAUGCAAUAUUGUAGAUGCUAGUGCUUUACUUUUAUGCAAAUGAAUUGAGAUAGGUUGCAUGGUAGAAAUGCUUGUGAGCCAUUGCCUUGUUGCAACCUAUAACCCUCGCACACCCGCUGUUAGGUUAGACGCUUGCAUACUACUUGCUACUGCUUCUACUACGCAUUAUAUCUGUGAUGUGAUGCAUUGUGGAGGAUUGGAUGUGAGUGGAUAAGGCACGUGGUGCCGAUAACUGGAUAAGGAAUGGAUAAUGGAUUUGGGGAGAUCUUGGCGUGUGUCUUGGGUGUGUGGUGAGGGUCGAGUCGACCGAGCAGGAUUUACGACGAGUCUUGGGACAAGUCUUGCCGGGGAAUGCUACCUGGGCGUUCUCCACGAGAGGUACCUGUGGCGGGUACAUGUGAUAGGGAGAGGUCCCGGAGUGGAGUGUCUUCGUGGGACGAAGCACCGAGAUAGGAGGUGCUGUUUAGCACGGGGUAGUCGGGUGUCCCGUCGAGAGGGGCAUCGGCUGGCCCCUCGUGAAGAUGUCCUGUUCGGUUACCCUAAGGACUGAGAUGUUCUGAGAACCGGUUCGUAGGAAGCCUUACACGCCACUCGCCUUAUUAUGGUGCGGGACGGAUGUACGACCAGCUAGUGCGGUGCCACUACUACUAGGUUGAUAGCGGAUAGUGUAGGGAGGUACGGGCAUGAGGACCCACACCCUCCUAAGACAGCGUAGUGACCUUUGGGGGCCCGGUACUACGCCUCACAGUCUCAGCAUGCCGGUGGUACUCCGGUGUGGCCCCAGUCCUGAGUGGUAGGGUGGCAUCGUAUUUAGUUGGAAGGCAGCCCGGUAUCAGCCUAGACGAGCCGGUUCGUCGAUGAUGGUGAUCUUGUGGUUAGUGUAAACCUCUGCAGAGUUUGGUUGAUCGAUCGAUACAUAUGCCGUCUUCUCGGCUAUGGACCUUUUCUAUGUUCCGCUUCGCUUGACUAGUGAGAGGAGUCCUUUCUACCUUCCCCUGGGUUUGUGUUGGAUCCGGCGUUGGCCGUUGAGGCAAGGCACGAGCGGGAGUCGUACUUGCCGCCUAGAGAAUGAGAGUGUGGUGAGAUGUGUGUGAUGGGAUGGAUGGAUGGAUGGAUGUGUGGAUGAGAUGGAAUAAAACUUGAUGAAUUAUUAUUAUAAAAUAUUGAUGAACUUGCAUAGGAAAAACUACAGCUAUACAUAGGCCUCUUGAUAUACCCUUUGCAUUUCCACCUACCACAAAGCUUACGCAAAAGCAUAGGGUGGGAGCCAGUGGCCAGUACAAAUCGUACUGAAAAUUGUUUAGCAGGUUUUGAACGUGGUCUAUGACGAUAACUACGGAGAAUAGAAGGAUUAGGUGGUCUCGCUCCUGCGCUCAAGUUUGGUUCAGAGAUGAAGGCUACGCCCGCUGAUAAACUACGCCGACUCUGAUGAUUGUCCGUGAAGGAGGAGCCUUCACCGCUGACGCGCUACAUCGACUCUGAUAAAGACUCGCGUGUGUUCUCGCUAGAAAAACGAUGUAAUAGGCUUGUUGACCAAGAGUUGUAAAGUAAAUGUGUUGUAAUCUUGUUUCUCACGAUGUAUGACUACGAUAACAGCUGAUAUAUGAUAAUGCGAUAGUUCAAUUUUUGAAUUAUCACAUUAUAAUUCGAAUCUGUGGAUUUUUCCCUUUGUGGAAGAAUCUAGGUCGUUUCAGGAGCCGAAGAGGAGCCCUACCAAACAGGCCCUUAAUAUUGCUGGUGGACACU